CUACGCCCAUGGCCUGUGGAAGUUCUCAGGCCAGGGAUGGAAACUAUGCCACAGCGGUGCAGUGACAACACCGGAGCCAGAGCAACGCAGAGGAACUUCUCUCCCUCUUCCUUAACCAGCCAGGAGCAGGUAGUUAGAAAGGUCCAAGCUGGCGGGUGAUUAUGUUACACAUACAGCCACCGAGGCCAAAAGUCUUAAAGGCUUUAGUUGGUCCCAAUCCUUGAACUUUCCCACUUACACAGAGUAAGGUAAAAUGCAGCAAGAAUGGAGGACUGUACUUGUUUUAGGUUCACCCUGACAAAGCAAUCCCCUGGCCAGUUUUCAAGAAGCUCAUCCCAGGAAUUGGAAUGAAAAUAUUCAGAGGGGCCUGAAUACCAACCAUGCAUACCAGCUGAGGCUAAGGCUAGAAAAAGGCUAUUGUUGGGUACAGAGAACUCAGAGCCACUUUUCAUCUAAGUGCACAUACAACUUCAGAAAAAAUUAAAUGGGAGUUCCCUUUGUAGCUCAGUGGGUUAAGAACCUGACAGUGUCAGUGAAGAUGUGGGUUUGAUCCCUGGCCUUACACAUGGGUUAAUGAUGCAGCAUUGCCACAAGCUGCAGUGUAGGUCGCAGGUGAGUAACAGAUGCGGCUCAGACACCAUGUUGUUGUGGCUGUGGUAUAGGUCAGUAGUUGUAGCUCCAAUUUGACAUCUAGCCUGGGAACUUCCAUAGGCUGUAGGUGUGGCCCUAAAAAGAAAAAUAAAAUAAAAUAAAAAGAAACAGGGAACAGGCUCCAGGAGUGUCCCAAAGGAAGUCUAUUUUCUCUUCUUGCGUGGAUAUGACUGUUUAUUGAUAAUUUGCUAUUAGUUAGUAGAAUCAGUUAAUUCUCAAGGAAUUUUAAUUUUUUUGGCCAUACUCGUGGCAUGUGGAAGUUCCUGGGCCAGGGAUCUAACCUGCGCCUCAGUAGCGACCCAAGCCACUGAAGUGAAAACUCCAGACCCUUAACCCAAGGGAACUCCUGGAGUGGCUUUUUAGUGUUUUCAAAGCUCUAUGUUCCGGAUCCACCACAUGACAAACUUGACUGGCUGAAAUAUUCAUGAGGGUGCAGGUUCAAUCCCCGGCCUCGAUCAGUGGGUUAAAGGAUACAGCAUUGCUAUGAGCUGUGGUGUAGGUUGCAGACGCAGCUCAGAUCCUGCAUUACCCUGGCUGUGGUGUAGGCUGGCAGCUGCAGCUCUGAUUCAACCCCUAGCCUGGGAACUUCCACAUGCUACAGGGGUGCCCCUAAAAAGAAAAAAAAAAAAAAAAAAAAAAAAAGUUCCUCAGGAUUUAAAUGUUCCUCAGGAGUUGUAAAUGUGAGAGAAAAAGUUUUAGGUGAAUAUAUGUUGACUUAGCACUUAUGUUUUGCAUCAUUAAAUGAAGGAAAAAAACAAAAACAAAAAACUGCUUUCUCUUAUACAAAACAUCACACUCACCAAAAUAACCCAUCAUUUGAAAUACUGUUUCAAAAUGGGAAUCAAAAGGAGAUGGGUCCCUACUAUGAGUGACCACUUCCUGCAGGGGUAAUAAAGGAUGCUAUGCCUCAGUAGGAAGGAAAGGUGUUCAUAAUUCAGAAAACCUAGGACUGAAGAAAGCUCUUCCAUUAAAACCCAGCCACUGGGUGUUAAGGGGUAUGGACAGCAGACUGAAACAAAAGCCACAGUUUCACCUUAACUGCAGAUAAGAUGCAGUUUAUAGGCAAUCCAACCAGUUUAGAAAUAACUUAUUUCUCCUGAUAAUCUACCAAGGGCUCAAAAUAACUUGAGAUAAAAGGAAUGACUCAAAAAGUGGAAUAUUGUAGCAACUGGAAGCAGAAGAAUGCCUCAAUUGCUAGGUCAGUGCCGAGGACACGGGCCACCCUCUCUGAUCACAUCCUCUCUACAACCUCCCUGCUGCUGCCCACCCAACAGCCAAGUCUCUGUAUUACCCAAAGGGGAGAAUCCAGCAGGACAAUGCUACCCUUGCCCACCGGCCAAUAACUGAGCACGCAAGUAUCUGAAAUCACGUAGUUUUACCAAAAGCGACUGCACCAACUCUAACUUGAUCAAGCAUUCAUGAAUCAAAGCAAAGGGAACCCAUGACUUGACAUUGCCUUGAAAUCACUGCCUCACCAAGAUAAUCAAGGCUACUGCAAACAAGAUCUCACAUGUGAUAGAGCCAGAGACACUCCUGUGAAAAGCAAUGUGAUCCCAGAUGAGGACCAUCCCGGGUGUGUGACUGGGGAAGGUGGCCUCCCUCACCGAGCCUCAUUCUGCCCAAGGUACACAGAUUGGAUUAAAUAUGCUCCAAACUCAAAUGAGCAAGACUCAACUGCAUUCCAAGGCCCAAUAUUAUGUGUCAUCAUCGAAACCCUUUCAUUUGGCACCUGCACACCAGGAUGAUGAUUUUUACGCAGCACUUAAAAAUACUUAAAGGCAGUCUUGUGAAAAUACCUACAUUAUGACCUAAUAUAUGGUAACGAGCUGGCAGCUCUCUAGGAUGACAAAGAAUGGGGCUUUCAGGAUCUGUGCAACUAAUCCAUGGUCAACAGUGAAAAACUGAUUUAUCCCCACUUACCUAUGACACUGAGAAUUCAGAGUAAAUUCAGGUUAGAGCUCAAUUCUAACUCCUUCUCCUUCAACUAUUAACAGUCAAACCUUUGCAAGGGCAAAGAUGCUACAGAUGCUAAUACUAAGUAGCCAGCAGUUAAAACAGCACUUUAAAAGGUUUCAGGUAUCACACUUUGGUUCUGAGAUGGGGCAGUAACACUAGAGAUAAGACAAAUUAAGUUUAAAACCAAAAGCAGUGGACAUUUAUUCCUCAAUUUUGGUGCAAGAGUGUAAAGAUGCAUUUCAAAGAUGCUGAUGGCUAGAGAGCAUCAGCCACAGUUUUCAGGCUGGCCUGGUUUACAUUUAGAUUAGGUGAAGUAGGGGAAAAAAAGCAAACUUGCCUAGUUCACAUGAACGAUGUUUCUGGCAAACACAGUUGUUUACAAGUUUCAAACUACAUUUUACUAGAGUCAAGGGAAGACUUCAAAAAGCCACAGACGGUACAAUUUAGAACUGGAUGAACAUCCUGCAAUGUGUGUGCAAAGUAAUUAUAGAGACCCUCCAAUACAAGACUGCGUUCAUGUUUCCCAGGUUUGGUCAAUGUUGCUCUUUUCUACUCACGAUCACAGAAGCUCAACUUACCACACAGCAAGGCUUUCGUUUCAUGUCCUAUGUACCAAAGGAAUAUCACAAGGUUUUAGUGAAAUGCAGCUGAGUUUCAAUAAUAACGCAAAUUUCUUAUUUAGUUCAAUAGUCAUGUUCCUGGAAUACUGCACAUAUAGGUCUCACGGAAAUGCCUUUAAGCUUAUGUUCUUAUCUUGCUCAGUAAAAUUACUUUCAAGAUAACCUUUUUACUAUGUAAGCUGGAACUGUUUCAUGAUUUUGAAAUGCAACCAAUAUAAAUGAAAACAUUUCAGAGGUGGGAAAAAAUCCACCACUACACUCAGCUAAACAAAAUUCUUAAAAAAUCAAAAAGCCUAUUCACACAAAAUUAUAUGUAAUGACUGUAGUAAUCAGUUUAUUACACAGAUUAAUCAUUCUUGAACGUACAAGCUCCAGAGGAGCAGUUGGGUCUUUAAAUAUACACAAGUAUUUCCAUCAAGUGAAUUUUCACCCUUACAUCCAGAUAGACCUAAGCAGUUAAAAACAUAAGAAAAAUAAGAGCUAUUAGCUAUGUAUUAACUGAGAAACCACAUACAAACCAAAGAAUAUGGACGAGAGAAAGAGGGGCUGAGGGAGGAAGGGUGAAGGGGGGGCGAUGUAAAAGAGCUGGGAACAAAGCCCAUCACACUUUCUGUACUAAUAGCUCCGAUCCAUUUCAAUGUUGACCAGUUAAACUUAGACCUUCAAAUACAGGACGUGGGUAGAGUUUAAGCUGGUUGGUCAUAACUGUCACCUAAGACGUACGUAGGUCCUUCGGAAUAAAAGGAAUACAGAAACAGCUUUGUGUUCUUCACCUUGCUUUUCAUAACUGUUUUGAGUUUAAUAGGAUUUCACUUAAAAAACAAUCUCCUACAGGUCAGUGGAGCUUUUCUUCUCCAUCCAAGCACACACCAUACCCACCAACCCUCACCUUGCCGUUAUCCAAAUUAAGUCAAUAAGGAAAGCUUUUAGUCUCACACCUAGGUUAUGCCUGGAGAACUGGCUUGUCACACACACACUUCUCUGCUAGGAGGCAAUGUUGGUACAGAAGUACAGUAUUUCUAGUUUGUGGUUCCAAGUAUGUACAACACGCAGCACUGCUGUAUCAGGUAAACAUGUGCACAGGGGAAGAUGAGGCGUGGGCUCAUAGAAAGCAGUCAAAUGGAAAUCAAAAGGACUUUCUCUUUCAGAGUUCCCCUAUCUUUAUUUGUAGAGGUUAUCCAAUAAUUUCUUUAAUUACAUCGCAUACUUCUGAGUCCAUUCCCGAGCUAUUCUGUUGUACCUGUACACACAAAAAGAAGCUUGGCUUAACACAGGUGAGGAGUUAGUUCGAAAGCAACAGAAUUAAUUCAUUAUCCCAUCUAGUAACUUGAGGAGAAUAACUUACAGUACAUUCAGGCUAAGACAUCUUCCUACUCCAAACUUCCUACAAGCAUUUAUUCAAUAACAGUGGGAAAUGUCCUGUAAAUGCUACUAAAACAGGAUUCUAAUUAAAUUUUACAUUUUCUAGCAUUCCCCUUAGUCUAAACCUGAUCGAUGCAUUUCUAGGAGAAGAUCUUCAAGCCCUGAUUCAUUUAUUUGGAGCCCUUGAAACAAUACAAUUCUACAUUAUAUGGUUCUUAAAAUCAUAUAAUAAUGAUUAAACUGACAUAAUACUUUCCCCGGUAUCAAUUAAACUGUAGGUUCUGGCAGAUUUUAUUUUAACAAUUUGGUUGCUAAAAUAAAUGGGUUUAUCUCUCCAGAAGAAAUUCUAGUAGUAAAAUAAGCAGGGCAAAAGGUUCUUUUAAUUCUUUGAUUAAAAAUACUCUGCUGGGGGGUUCCCGUCAUGGCUCAGUGGUUAACAAAUCCGACUAGGAACCAUGAGGUUGCGGGUUCGAUCAAUCCCUGGCCUCGCUCAGUGGGUUAAGGAUCCGGUGUUGCCGUGAGCUGUGGUGUAGGUUGCAGAUGUGGCUCGGAUCCCGCGUUGCUGUGGCUCUGGCGUAGGUGGGCGGCCACAGCUCCGAUCAGACCCCUAGCCUGGGAACCUCCAUAUGCCGCGGGAGCGGCCCAAGAAAUGGCAAAAAGACAAAAAUAAAAUAAAAAGACUCUGCUGACCACGACCACAAUGACUUGAGAAAAACUCUCAUAAUUCUGGAUAUUGGACAAAAUGGUUCUCUAACCAAAAAAUUUUAUUUGUAAGGUCACAAAUAGAAAAAGGAUGAUCUAAUUUUAUUCUGAAUGCUGCCAGGAAUACACAGCUAUAGAUACUAUUCAGACCUAAAUACAGAAAAAACUAAACUAAGAAACAACGGCUGGUAGUGUUCUGCAUUCUCAGUGUAGUUCCCUUUAAAACUAUUUUAUCUAUGUGCCUAACAAAUAAUUCAAAUUAUUAUUUACUAUAUUUUAGCUUUAGAAAAUUACCCCACUAUUUCCUCCCUCAAUCUUAUUGAGUAAUACACAAAAGAUACAACUUUCAGUGACUCUCUCUUCUGAUACCCUGACCACUCUUCAGUAAUUCACAAUAUAAUUUUAAUUAUGUAAAUUUUAUACCAAGUUUUGUUUUAAAGGAAAUUUGGGGCUGUCAUAUCUGUAGCAUUUAUUCACUUUAUUUUUUAGGUUAUUCCAAAAGGUAGAAGAUCAAUUCCCUUUUCCCAUUAAUUUACAGAUACUCACCUAAGACAAAUGGG
rnacentral:lncRNA from 1 species